AGCGACUCAAAGCCGGAGAUCGCGGUGCAAAGUUUCACCACCUCCAAGGUAGUCGCACAUUAACCUCUUUUUCAAACACAGAAGACUUGGGGAUCCGUUUGUGCAAGAACGUACAAUACUACUACAAGACGUUUGAAAUUCCCUCCUGAAUCUCUGUCACAUCACGGCACCAUAAUCUGCAAACUGGGAAUGUUGUCCUCAAAGACACGCACAUCCUCCAACGUCGACGGCACGUUGAGUAUUUUUUGUGUGCCUCUGCUCUGUCCUAUGUCUUGCGCAAAUAAACAAAUAAACAAAAAUAAAAAAGAAAGAAAAAAUUGUAAUAAAUUUUUAUGGGUGGGAUUCAUUUGGCAAAAUACAAUUGUAAUAUAUGAUAUAAUUCCCACAUGUUUGUAUGUUGAUUCAUUGUAUUUAGAACACCACUCUUUAUUUGUUCUGCCACUCUCAGAAGGGGUUCCUCGAUUUUUAACCCCUGGGAGGUCAUGCAUUUCCUUGAACUAACAAAAAUUAUAUUAUUUCAUUACUUUAAAAAUGUCUUGUGUUAGAUUUCUUUGAGAUUCCUUUAUUAUUGCAGUAGUGAGCCCCACAAAGUAUAUUUUUAGGACUAGAGCAGAAAAUGUGGUGAUUUGAAACAGCCUCUCGACUUUCCUUUCAACAGUGUGAUUCAUUGAUAUGAAAGGCUACAAAAUCAUUGAAAAAAGGUCACAUUUCGUUUGCUUGGACUGUUUGUUUUCAUAUUGAUACAAAAUGAAAAACUGCAAACAAUGAAAAAUGUUCUUCCUAAAAUCAGUAGUUGGGUUUGUACAAAAAAAAAACCUCAGAUCGAAAUGAAGUUUUUCCAGUAGAUUUUUAACAUUGUUUUUGCUGUGUUGUGACUGAAUGGGUAACAUACUGUACAGUUACAGAUGCCAAGGAGUUUGAGUGAUCGAUCCAGCUGGUUUAUAAAACCCUGUUUGCGCUACAAAUUCCCCAUAAUAUGAGGUAACCAGUAACGGGGUGACGUGUGGGAGGUUGCAAGCAGGAGCAGGCAUGCAGUCUGCAUUAUCUGAGAGUGUUUGGGAGGGGUGGAUCCCUCAGUUCCCCCUGCACCAGGGCUUGCCAGGUCACAGGCUCAAUUCCUGGGUGGGACACUGCCAUUGUACCCUUGAGCAAGAAGGCGAGCUGGAGACGAAGGUCUGCUGUCCAGAUCGGCAGGUGUCACCAACAGCUCGGAUGGUACCAUGUGGUCAGACAGCACCCUCCUGUACAUCAAGGAGCGGAUAACACACUAUGCUGGAAGCCCCAUGGGAAACCUACCCAACCUACCCACCCUACCCAACCUACCUGAAUGCUGGAAUCUGGUCCCACCAUCGUAUGACAAGGCUGAGUGGCUGGUGUUGGGAUCACUGAUAAUGUUUUCCAUAAACUGCGUAGCAUUGCUUGUGGUGAGUCACUUUUUCUUGACAUGAUAUUGCGCAUUAAUUUAACAUG